rnacentral:rRNA from 1 species
UACGGAGGGUGCAAGCGUUAUCCGGAUUCACUGGUUUAAAGGGCGCGUAGGCGGCCUGUUAAGUCGAACGUGAAAUCCCCGGGCUCAACCCGGGAACUGCGUCCGAAACUGGCAGGCUCGAAUUCGGGAGAGGGAUGCGGAAUUCCAGGUGUAGCGGUGAAAUGCGUAGAUAUCUGGAGGAACAUCGGUGGCGAAGGCGGCAUCCUGGACCGAUAUUGACGCUGAGGCGCGAAAGCCAGGGGAGCAAACGGG